GAUGAAGAACGCAGUGAAAUGCGAUAAGUAAUGUGAAUUGCAGAAUUCAGUGAAUCAUCGAAUCUUUGAACGCACCUUGCACCCUUUGGCAUUCUGAAGGGUAUGCUCGUUUGAGUGUCAUUGUACUCUCACACUCCCGAUCUUUGCAUUGGGAGCAGUGGACUUGGGUUUGCUGCUUCACCGUCGCUUACCUCAAAUAGGUUAGUGCAACUCUUGGUUGGACAUAGUACGGCGUGAUAAGUGUUCUUCGCCGGUGCCUCGCAAAGAGGGUGGCCGAUCGGGAUGUUGUGCUCCAAACCGUCUUCGGACAAUCUCUGACGACUUGACCUCAAAUCGAGUAAGACUACCCGCUGAACUUAAGCAUAUCAAAAGCGGAGGA
rnacentral:misc_RNA from 1 species